AGGGGCGUAGCUCAGAUGGCCAGAGCACCGGUCUCCAAAACCGAUGGUCGCAGGUUCGAGUCCUGCCGCCCCUG
rnacentral:tRNA from 3 species